CAGGUGUUGCAUGGCUGUCGUCAGCUCGUGUCGUGAGAUGUUCGGUUAAGUCCGCUAACGAGCGCAACCCUCGCUGUGUGUUAUAUGUGUCACACAGGACUGCUGGUAUUAAGCCGGAGGAAGGUGGGGACGACGUCAAGUCAGCAUGACCUUUAUAUCCAGGGCUACACACACGCUACAAUGGUCAGUACAAUGGGUUGCCAAGCCGCGAGGCGGAGCCAAUCCUAAAAAGCUGGCCUCAGUUCAGAUUGCAGUCCGAAACUCGACUGCAUGAAGUCGGAGUUGCUAGUAAACGCAGGCCAGCUAUACUGCGUUGAAUACGUUCCCGGGGCUU
rnacentral:rRNA from 1 species